rnacentral:rRNA from 1 species
UACGUAGGGUGCGAGCGUUAAUCGGAAUUACUGGGCGUAAAGCGUGCGCAGGCGGUGAUGUAAGACAGGUGUGAAAUCCCCGGGCUUAACCUGGGAACUGCAUUUGUGACUGCAUCGCUGGAGUGCGGCAGAGGGGGAUGGAAUUCCGCGUGUAGCAGUGAAAUGCGUAGAUAUCAGGAAGAACACCCGUGGCUAAGGCGGCUCUCUAGUACGGUACUGACGCUGAGACGCGAAAGCGUGGGGAGCGAACAGG